rnacentral:rRNA from 1 species
UACGGAGGAUCCAAGCGUUAUCCGGAAUCAUUGGGUUUAAAGGGUCCGUAGGCGGUUUAGUAAGUCAGUGGUGAAAGCCCAUCGCUCAACGGUGGAACGGCCAUUGAUACUGCUGAACUUGAAUUAUUAGGAAGUAACUAGAAUAUGUAGUGUAGCGGUGAAAUGCUUAGAUAUUACAUGGAAUACCAAUUGCGAAGGCAGGUUACUACUAAUGGAUUGACGCUGAUGGACGAAAGCGUGGGGAGCGAACGGG